CGAACUCGCCCCCCUCACGCUUUUGGUUGACAGUGGACAAAUCGCAAGGCGCAUCAGAGGUAUUCAGAUUUAGAUGAUCACUAAACCUAUAAGCCAUAACGAAAUUGGAGAUGCAGAAUGGACGGGCUUUGGCCUUCAGGAGGGAUAAACCCGCUCCAAGGAAACGGAAGUGACGCGACCUCUGUCAGAAGUAGUUACCCCCAGAGCCCAGCCUCCUCCCAAGAAGUCUCUGGGUGCUGUCCAUGUACGGCAGGGAUAUCCUCUCCCACAUGGACCAUAUCAAGGCCAGCAUCACCUCCACAUUUGGUUCCAACUUAAAGAUGGACUCAACCAAAAAGAUCACAAAGCAUCAAAGCAAGGUGGAGAUGCAGCUGUUCCCUGCUCCACCCUCUGGCCCUCAGGUGGAGAUGCAGCUCUUCCCUGCUCCACCGUUGGGCUCCAUGAUAUUUACUCCAGUGAGCUCACAGGUUCCUGUCCUGGUCGCUGCUCCACAGGCUCUGAAUGCCAGCCUCUCUCUGCUUUUCCUGCUCCUAGUCCUGCUCCAUACAGCCAAACACUGACCCGCAAAUACUGCCCAACACGUGUGGAGGUGUGGGAGGUUUGGGACAGCGGACACUGGACACAGCCAGUACAGGGAGUAGUGAACUACAUUGUGCCAAAGGAUUAAUGGUUGGAGGUAGGGCUGCACGGUAUUGAAAAAAACUGACAUCGCGUUUUUUUCCCCCCCUGCGGUAUAUAUCGCGGUUUUUUUAACCUGUUAAACCCCAAAGUCCCGGCGGGUACUUUACUUUUUUUUU